UACGGAGGGUGGCAAGCGUUAUCCGGAUUCACUGGGUUAAAGGGUGCGUAGGUGGUCUGUUAAGUCACCUGUGAAACCCCCGGGCUCAAACUCGGGGCCUGCAGGCGAAACUGCCGUGCUGGAGUGCGGAAGAGGUGAGUGGAAUUCCUGGUGUGAGCGGUGGAAAUGACGCAGAUAUCAGGAAGAACACCCGUGGCUAAGGCGGCUCUCUAGUACGGUACUGACGCUGAGACGCGAAAGCAUGGGGAGCGAACAGG
rnacentral:rRNA from 1 species